AUUGAACGCUGGCGGCAUGCCUUACACAUGCAAGUCGAACGGUAACAGGUCUUCGGAUGCUGACGAGUGGCGAACGGGUGAGUAAUCCAUCGGAACGUGCCCAGUUGUGGGGGAUAACUGCUCGAAAGAGCAGCUAAUACCGCAUACGACCUGAGGGUGAAAGCGGGGGAUCGCAAGACCUCGCGCAAUUGGAGCGGCCGAUGUCAGAUUAGGUAGUUGGUGGGGUAAAGGCCUACCAAGCCGACGAUCUGUAGUUGGUCUGAGAGGACGACCAGCCACACUGGGACUGAGACACGGCCCAGACUCCUACGGGAGGCAGCAGUGGGGAAUUUUGGACAAUGGGCGCAAGCCUGAUCCAGCAAUGCCGCGUGCAGGAAGAAGGCCUUCGGGUUGUAAACUGCUUUUGUCAGGGAAGAAAUCCUCUGGGUUAAUACCCCGGGGGGAUGACGGUACCUGAAGAAUAAGCACCGGCUAACUACGUGCCAGCCGCCGCAGUAAGAC
rnacentral:rRNA from 1 species